GGCAACCCUGACGGAGCAACGCCGCGUGGGGGAGGAAGGUCUGUGGAUUGUAAACCCCUUUUCUCUGUGAAGAAGAUCUGACGGUAGCAGAGGAAUCAGCAUCGGCUAACUCCGUGCCAGCAGCCGCGGUAAGACGGAGGAUGCAAGCGUUAUCCGGAAUUAUUGGGCGUAAAGCGUCCGCAGGUGGUAAUUCAAGUCUGCGGUCAAAGACCGAAGCUCAACUUCGGGAAGGCAGUGGAAACUGAAAAACUAGAGUACGGUAGGGGUAGAGGGAAUUUCCAGUGUAGCGGUGAAAUGCGUAGAUAUUGGGAAGAACACCAGUGGCGAAGGCGCUCUGCUGGGCCAUAACUGACGCUGAGGGACGAAAGCUAGGGGAGCG
rnacentral:rRNA from 1 species